AUGAUGAUGAUGAGCUGGCCCAACGGACGCCACCGCCGGCUACCAAAUCCUCGGUUUCGGCUACUCGAUAGGACGUGGCGUGUGAAGAGGAUACAUGCGGAGGUUGGCAGAAGGUGCUCCCGCGGCGCGAUGUGCAACGCCAGGCGUCACAAGCCCCUGCUUUUGCUCCCCGUCCCUGCUUGGCUUCAUGGUAGAUGUUGCAGAUGUCUCGUUCCUCGACACCGUGCAGCGGAUUGUCGAGAUCCUUUUAGAUGUUAUCGAUGCCUUGAGAACGGUCAUCGAGCGCAUGAGUGCCGCUAUGCCUGGCGUCCCCUCAGCUCCUUGGGAAGAGCUACUGUGCCGCCAUUGCCCCGCCUCCUCGUCGAGCACCAACAAGCUCCAUCUCCAUACAAGGUCCAAAAAGAAGCCCCGCCCCUCUCGAAGGCAUUUUGUCGUGAUUCUUGGGCAUCGAUCGUUUCUGCUCCUGCUGGCUCAAUGGCCCCGACGGAUACCUCGAUGCGGCCCACUUUGGAGAGGCAGGCCGAGCUGCUGCGCUCUGAGCUCCUUGGUAUGGCUUCCUUUCAGCUUGAGAAAAUGGUCCAGCCUCUGCGUGAUGUCGUUGACUCUAUGAAAGGUUGGAUGUUGAGGAUGGAGAGCUUCAUGGAGCGAGCUGAGGCUGCACUGGGCGGCCUCUCCCUGAUGUCGCCUGUGUUGCAGACUACUCAUGUGUUGCACCCUUUGGUUGUGCCUGAUGGUAGCUUCGACGCUGAGAAGGGAGACGAGCUUCAUGGUCGUUUCUCCCCUCGGGCUAGGGCCAGCUCACCGCCAUUAGCCUCUGAGGGACUUGACAAUGAUGUGGUUGUGACUCCGGUGUUACAGAUCAUGCCCGAGCUUCGGGAGUUGUGUGGGGGCCCGGUUUUGCCUUUGUGUGUCGAGCAACUGCAGGUAGACCCUCCCGAGAUCUCGAGUGUGGCUUUGCCACCAACAUCACCCCUAGAGUCGAGCCAGAUAGUUGAUGCCGAGGAGAGUAGUGAUUUGGACAGUGCGAUCUCUCGCUCGCCCAAGUCCAUUGGGCGCCAGGCGUUAGUCAUCGAGCGCAGAGUUCCAGAUGUUGCUGCCCUUCCCUCAUCUACGACCAUCGAGCAGGUGAUGCCCGUGAGUAACAUGGCCAUUGAGCCAAGUGUGUUGGCACCUACUCCAAGUCCAAAUUCAAAUGCUAUCUUCGCGAAGGAACUUUGUGACUUGCUCGCUAGCGUGGAGGUUGCUAGACCUGGUUUGGGCAGGUCGAUUGCUUGCCUCCUAACAGGAACGCCAAUAAGGGGCAAACAAAAGAAGAUGGGCAAAGGCAAGAGUGAUGUCAUAGGCAAGGCGUCUUUGAUUGCUUGA
rnacentral:rRNA from 1 species